rnacentral:lncRNA from 1 species
GUGGGCAAACGUACAAAAUCAGCAGGGGAUCAAAUACUUUUUUCCCCCACUGUAUGGAUACCUACAUUUGGGUCUCCUUAGCUGCUGGAUUUAUCCGUCCCUAUUCCUCUCCCGCCAGCACAGGGUUCUUCUUCAUGGAGAAAAAGGACAAGACCUUGUGCGAGUGAAUUGACCAACGACAUUACGGUUAAGAACCGUUACCCACUUCCACUCAUCUCCUCGGCCUUCGUGCCGCUCCAGAGGGCCACUGUGUUUUCCAAGCUAGAUCUAUGGAAUGCCUACCACAUGGUGCGGAUACGAGCGGGGGAUGAGUGGAAGACCGCCUUCAACACCGCCAGUGGCCACUACGAGUAUCUGGUCAUCCCCUUUGGCCUCACCAACGCCCCUGCUGUGUUCCAGGCUAUGGACAUGUUGAACCGGUUCAUCUUCGUCUACAUUGAUGACAUCCUCGUCUUCUCCCGCUCCCCUCAAGAACACGUGCUCCAGUCCGGCAGGUCCUUCAACGCCUUCUGGAGAAUCAGCUGUUUAUGAAGGCGGAGAAGUGUGAGUUCCAUCGCUCCACCAUCCCCUUUCUGGGUUACAUCAUCUCUGCUGGGAGUGUCCAGAUGGAUCCUGGGAAGUUGAGACGCCUCCUGAGGGUUCGACCACGGGGAAGGGGUUUCCAGUACCUGGUUGACAGGGAGGGUUGUGGCCUGGAGGAGAGGUGCUGGGUCCCCGAUAGAGACAUCCUGGACCCAGCCCACAUCGCUGACUUCCGGCACCCCGGUCAACCAGUUUUUGACCCUUGCCUGUCCUGACCCUGAACCCGCCCGCCUGACCAGUCUGCCUACCCCUGACCCUGAGCCUGCCUGCCGUCAUGUACCUUUGCCCCCUGUUGCUGUAAUAAACGUUGUUUAUUAAACAUUAAACAUAAACAUUGUUUAUUACAGCAACUCUGUAUCUGGGUCUUACCUUAUCCUGAUAAACAAUAAUUUCUCAAAAUCCGCCAACCUCAAGAACAAUCUAAUGAAUAUCAAGAUUCAGGUGGUUUAUGCCUAUUAGUUGAAGAUCCUUAUAGGUAACUUAUAGAUAACUUCUAGGAUUGUAGACAACAUAGGAUGUGUUCAUGAGUUGUGAGUCCCUCUACCAUCUCUGCCCUAGUGUGUGAUCUUAGUGGCUCAGAUGGUAGAGUAUGGCGCUUGCAUCGCCGGGGUUGUGGGUUUGAUUUCCACAGUAGCCCAAUAUACAAAAAUUACACAAAUGUAUGCACUCACAACUGUAAAUCGCUUUGCAUAAGUGUAAUGCACACAAUACUAAAAUGUCAUCAAUUAUAAUUGAUUCCUGGAGCAUUUUAUAUCCAGCACUUAUUUGUAUGACUUAUUCAAAACUGUCCAUGAAUGGCUGCAAACAUACACAGCCUCACAACAUUCAUUUUCAAAGACACAAGUAGGCAUAUCAGAUUGAAAUGAUGUAAUAACACUGGCAAAACUGGGAAGAAGUGGAAUAUGAAAAUAAGUAUGGGGAAUAACAUUAGUGUUCUUGCUGACAAGCACGGUAAUUACCCUAUAUUUUAGCCCAUUGUUAAGAAUAAGAAUUGUUCCACUGAUCAGACUAAGUAAAGUAAAUAGAUAAUAAAAUCUCCUGAAGACGAGAGAACAUAAAUCUGCCCCUACACCCUAAUCAAAUAAUUGUUAUAUUCAUUGUCCGUCCUCUAGAAUCAAACUUUUACUUUUCGGUUCCCAAUCUGUUUGACACAUUUUUUCAUAGUUACAAAUCAGCCCACCCUACCAAACUUCCCUGAAUAGACAUUUAAAUCCGACUGAAGGAGAACAGUUACAUUUUUUUAUUUUUUAUUCAGGGUAGUACCGUGAAUUUGGUUAAUGUCAAGCAGUACCGGAGCACCAAGUCUAGGUUCAAGAGGCUUCUAAACAGCUUCUACCCCCAAGCCAUAAGACUAUUGAACACCGAAUCAAAUGGCUAUUUGCAUUGCCCUCCACCUCCUCUUUUACACCGCUGCUACUCUCUGUUGUUAUCAUCUAUACAUAUACGUAUAACCUCAACUAACCGGUACCCCCGCACAUUGACUCUGUACCAGUACCCCCCUGUACAUAGUCUCCACAUUGACUCUGUACCGGUACCCCCUGUAUAUAUCCUCCACAUUGACUCUGUACCAGUACCCCCCUGUAUAUAGCCUCCACAUUGACUCUGUACCAGUACCCCCUGUAUAUAGCCUCCACAUUGACUCUGUACCAGUACCCCCCUGUAUAUAGUCUCGCUAUUGUUAUUUUACUGCUGC